rnacentral:rRNA from 1 species
CAGUCGAACGCUUCUUUUUCCACCGGAGCUUGCUCCACCGGAAAAAGAGGAGUGGCGAACGGGUGAGUAACACGUGGGUAACCUGCCCNUCAGAAGGGGAUAACACUUGGAAACAGGUGCUAAUACCGUAUAACAAUCAAAACCGCAUGGUUUUGAUUUGAAAGGCGCUUUCGGGUGUCGCUGAUGGAUGGACCCGCGGUGCAUUAGCUAGUUGGUGAGGUAACGGCUCACCAAGGCCACGAUGCAUAGCCGACCUGAGAGGGUGAUCGGCCACAUUGGGACUGAGACACGGCCCAAACUCCUACGGGAGGCAGCAGUAGGGAAUCUUCGGCAAUGGACGAAAGUCUGACCGAGCAACGCCGCGUGAGUGAAGAAGGUUUUCGGAUCGUAAAACUCUGUUGUUAGAGAAGAACAAGGAUGAGAGUAACUGUUCAUCCCUUGACGGUAUCUAACCAGAAAGCCACGGCUAACUACGUGCCANCAGCCGCGGUAAUACGUAGGUGGCAAGCGUUGUCCGGAUUUAUUGGGCGUAAAGCGAGCGCAGGCGGUUUCUUAAGUCUGAUGUGAAA